UAGGGAAUCUUCGGCAAUGGGGGGAACCCUGACCGAGCAACGCCGCGUGAGUGAAGAAGGUUUUCGGAUCGUAAAGCUCUGUUGUUAAGGAAGAACGAGUGUGAGAAUGGAAAGUUCAUACUGUGACGGUACUUAACCAGAAAGGGACGGCUAACUACGUGCCAGCAGCCGCGGUAAUACGUAGGUCCCGAGCGUUGUCCGGAUUUAUUGGGCGUAAAGCGAGCGCAGGCGGUUAGAUAAGUCUGAAGUUAAAGGCAGUGGCUCAACCAUUGUAGGCUUUGGAAACUGUUUAACUUGAGUGCAGAAGGGGAGAGUGGAAUUCCAUGUGUAGCGGUGAAAUGCGUAGAUAUAUGGAGGAACACCGGUGGCGAAAGCGGCUCUCUGGUCUGUAACUGACGCUGAGGCUCGAAAGCGUGGGGAGCGAACAGG
rnacentral:rRNA from 3 species